GGUGGUUUGAGCGCGGUGGCCCCACCCGUUCCCAUCCCGAACACGGUCGUGAAACGCCGCAGCGCCUACGAUACUGGCGCCGCGAGGCGCUGGGACAAUCGGUCACUGCCGGCA
rnacentral:rRNA from 1 species